rnacentral:rRNA from 2 species
AGCCCUUCGGGGUGGAUUAGUGGCGAACGGGUGAGUAACACGUGGGCAAUCUGCCCUUCACUCUGGGACAAGCCCUGGAAACGGGGUCUAAUACCGGAUAUGAGCCUGGGAGGCAUCUCCCGGGUUGUAAAGCUCCGGCGGUGAAGGAUGAGCCCGCGGCCUAUCAGCUUGUUGGUGAGGUAAUGGCUCACCAAGGCGACGACGGGUAGCCGGCCUGAGAGGGCGACCGGCCACACUGGGACUGAGACACGGCCCAGACUCCUACGGGAGGCAGCAGUGGGGAAUAUUGCACAAUGGGCGCAAGCCUGAUGCAGCGACGCCGCGUGAGGGAUGACGGCCUUCGGGUUGUAAACCUCUUUCAGCAGGGAAGAAGCGCAAGUGACGGUACCUGCAGAAGAAGCGCCGGCUAACUACGUGCCAGCAGCCGCGGUAAUACGUAGGGCGCAAGCGUUGUCCGGAAUUAUUGGGCGUAAAGAGCUCGUAGGCGGCUUGUCACGUCGGGUGUGAAAGCCCGGGGCUUAACCCCGGGUCUGCAUUCGAUACGGGCUGGCUAGAGUGUGGUAGGGGAGAUCGGAAUUCCUGGUGUAGCGGUGAAAUGCGCAGAUAUCAGGAGGAACACCGGUGGCGAAGGCGGAUCUCUGGGCCAUUACUGACGCUGAGGAGCGAAAGCGUGGGGAGCGAACAGGAUUAGAUACCCUGGUAGUCCACGCCGUAAACGGUGGGAACUAGGUGUUGGCGACAUUCCACGUCGUCGGUGCCGCAGCUAACGCAUUAAGUUCCCCGCCUGGGGAGUACGGCCGCA